GUAACAUGGCGACGUUAAGCAGCGGAAAAGCGAAUGGUGGAGGGUUUAAUCGGAAGUACUGGGGGUAAAGGGUGAGUAGGCAGUGCUUUAAUGUUGCUGUGAAAUCCCCGGGCUCAACCUGGGAAUGGAAGUGGAUACUGGAGAGCUAGAGUGUGAUAUAGGAUGGUGGAAUGCCCGGUGUAGCGGUGAAAUGCGUAGAGAUCGGGAGGAACAUCAGUGGCGAAGGCGGCCAUCUGGAUCAACACUGACGCUGAGGCACGAAAGCGUGGGGAGCAAACAGGAUUAGAUACCCCUGUAGUC
rnacentral:rRNA from 1 species